CCGGCCGGGCACGCCGGGGCCCGCUCGGCGGGCGGGCACGGCCGAGGGGACGUCGGAAAGGCCCUUCCUGAAACAGCUGAAACCCCUGGUUUGCAUUCCAUUCCGAAAGCCAGAGCAGCAGCAGCUCAGGGUGACUGCCCACCUCGCCCCUUCCAUCCCAGAAAAGGACCGAGAAAGUCACAAGCUGAGAACUGUAAAACCACAACAUCCUGAAGAAGAAAACAUCUGAGCAACAGAGUGAAAAAAAUGUAAGUGCAUGUACACGUAAGAUCUGCUUCACACCAGACUGCACUUUUUAGUCUCUGCUCUGCCACCAAGCCCACUCAGCUCUUUCCAGCAACAUCAACAGCUGUGGAAGAUCAUCAGAGCAGACUGUUUUGCCCCUAAUAAUGGAGCUGACUCUCAGGCUCAAAGCAUAUAAGUAAUGUGAAAGAGCAAAUCCAGCUCAGCCAAGAGCUGAACCAGCUAGCACUGGAAGGGCUUGUGCUGAGAACACAGACCAGGUACAUUCAAGUUGCCUUAGAUUGAAAUGGCAUCAAAACAAAAAAUAUAUCAGUAUUAUCAGAGGCUGUGGAUUAUUGACACAGAGAACCUCAAUCCUAUCUAUAACUGAGGCAAGAUCACCAUAAAAUCUACUUCUGAAGAGUAAUAUUAGAGCAAGAUGAAAAAGCACAUUCUCCUCACCCAUCCAGACUUUGAAACAACUAUGGCAGUACUGUUCCUGGCAAUGCAGUGAAACAAUACAUAGUUUCAUCUGUUUUGCAGAAAAAUGUAUUUGGUCCAUGUGCUAUAAAAGGCUCAGGUGAUCUUCAUUUCCCAAUAGAUCUUCCAAAGUCAA